rnacentral:rRNA from 1 species
UUCGUAUGCGAGUGUUCGGGUGUCAAACCCCUACGCGUAAUGAAAGUGAACGCAGGUGAGAGCCCUUCCGGGGCGCAUCAUCGACCGAUCCUGAUGUUCUCGGAUGGAUUUGAGUAAGAGCAUACGGGGCCGGACCCGAAAGAAGGUGAACUAUGCCUGUAUAGGGUGAAGCCAGAGGAAACUCUGGUGGAGGCUCGCAGCGGUUCUGACGUGCAAAUCGAUCGUCAAAUAUGGGCAUGGGGGCG